UACAGAGGGUGCAAGCGUUAAUCGGAAUUACUGGGCGUAAAGCGUGCGUAGACGGUUACAUAAGUCGGGUGUGAAAGCCCCGGGCUCAACCUGGGAAUUGCAUUCGAGACUGCGUAGCUAGGGUGCGGAAGAGGGAAGCGGAAUUUCCGGUGUAGCGGUGAAAUGCGUAGAUAUCGGAAGGAACACCGGUGGCGAAAGCGGCGCGCUGGAUCCCUUCUGACGCUGAGGCGCGAAAGCCAGGGGAGCGAACGGG
rnacentral:rRNA from 1 species